rnacentral:rRNA from 1 species
GAGAUUUUAACACGAAGUGAGUGGCGGACGGGUGAGUAACACGUGGGUAACCUGCCCAGAAGCAGGGGAUAACACCUGGAAACAGAUGCUAAUACCGUAUAACAGAGAAAACCGCCUGGUUUUCUUUUAAAAGAUGGCUCUGCUAUCACUUCUGGAUGGACCCGCGGCGCAUUAGCUAGUUGGUGAGGUAACGGCUCACCAAGGCGAUGAUGCGUAGCCGACCUGAGAGGGUAAUCGGCCACAUUGGGACUGAGACACGGCCCAGACUCCUACGGGAGGCAGCAGUAGGGAAUCUUCCACAAUGGACGCAAGUCUGAUGGAGCAACGCCGCGUGAGUGAAGAAGGGUUUCGGCUCGUAAAGCUCUGUUGUUAAAGAAGAACGUGGGUGAGAGUAACUGUUCACCCAGUGACGGUAUUUAACCAGAAAGCCACGGCUAACUACGUGCCAGCAGCCGCGGUAAUACGUAGGUGGCAAGCGUUAUCCGGAUUUAUUGGGCGUAAAGCGAGCGCAGGCGGUCUUUUAAGUCUAAUGUGAAAGCCUUCGGCUCAACCGAAGAAGUGCAUUGGAAACUGGGAGACUUGAGUGCAGAAGAGGAUAGUGGAACUCCAUGUGUAGCGGUGAAAUGCGUAGAUAUAUGGAAGAACACCAGUGGCGAAGGCGGCUGUCUGGUCUGUAACUGACGCUGAGGCUCGAAAGCAUGGGUAGCGAACAGGAUUAGAUACCCUGGUAGUCCAUGCCGUAAACGAUGAUUACUAAGUGUUGGAGGGUUUCCGCCCUUCAGUGCUGCAGCUAACGCAUUAAGUAAUCCGCCUGGGGAGUACGACCGCAAGGUUGAAACUCAAAAGAAUUGACGGGGGCCCGCACAAGCGGUGGAGCAUGUGGUUUAAUUCGAAGCUACGCGAAGAACCUUACCAGGUCUUGACAUCUUCUGCCAACCUAAGAGAUUAGGCGUUCCCUUCGGGGACAGAAUGACAGGUGGUGCAUGGUUGUCGUCAGCUCGUGUCGUGAGAUGUUGGGUUAAGUCCCGCAACGAGCGCAACCCUUAUUACUAGUUGCCAGCAUUCAGUUGGGCACUCUAGUGAGACUGCCGGUGACAAACCGGAGGAAGGUGGGGACGACGUCAAAUCAUCAUGCCCCUUAUGACCUGGGCUACACACGUGCUACAAUGGAUGGUACAACGAGUCGCGAAACCGCGAGGUUUAGCUAAUCUCUUAAAACCAUUCUCAGUUCGGACUGUAGGCUGCAACUCGCCUACACGAAGUCGGAAUCGCUAGUAAUCGCGGAUCAGCAUGCCGCGGUGAAUACGUUCCCGGGCCUUGUACACACCGCCCGUCACACCAUGAGAGUUUGUAACACCCAAAGCCGGUGG